ACCGCUAUAAUGUAAAGCGCAGCAUAAGGGAUCAAUAAUCUCUAAGUCCAGGUUCGAGUCUUGGUAACGGUG
rnacentral:tRNA from 1 species